rnacentral:rRNA from 1 species
AUUGAACGCUGGCGGCAUGCUUUACACAUGCAAGUCGAACGGUAACAGGCCUUCGGGUGCUGACGAGUGGCGAACGGGUGGGUAAUGCAUCGGAACGUACCCAGAGGUGGGGGAUAACGCAGCGAAAGCUGUGCUAAUACCGCAUGUGAGCUGAGGAUGAAAGCGGGGGACCGAGCAGCAAUGUUUGGCCUCGCGCCUUUGGAGCGGCCGAUGUCGGAUUAGCUAGUUGGUGGGGUAAAGGCCUACCAAGGCGACGAUCCGUAGCUGGUCUGAGAGGACGACCAGCCACACUGGGACUGAGACACGGCCCAGACUCCUACGGGAGGCAGCAGUGGGGAAUUUUGGACAAUGGGCGCAAGCCUGAUCCAGCAAUGCCGCGUGCGGGAAGAAGGCCUUCGGGUUGUAAACCGCUUUUGGCAGGAACGAAACGGUGUCCGCUAAUACCGGGCGCUAAUGACGGUACCUGCAGAAUAAGCACCGGCUAACUACGUG